rnacentral:lncRNA from 1 species
GUAUUUCAAAAGUUAUGGUGUUUUUUGUUUCAUGAUGUAUGUAUGUUUUUAUUGGCACUUUUUAACUCUACUAUUGACACUUUUCACGUUUUAUUUGAAAUUUUAUUUUAAUGACUUUUUUGUUAAAUGAUUUUUGAUCACUGAUUUAUGAAUGUCACUCCCUCUCCUUCCGUCUUUUAUGAUGUUACGUCUAAUGUCUUGUUAUGUUUUGUAUUAUUCCAAUGAAAUGUGAUAUGAGAAUAUUGAUCAAUGCAAUUUUCAAAGUAUUAUGGAAUAAAUUUAUAAAUAGUCAAGUUUGUUUUGAUUUUUGUUCCAUUACCAUUAAUAGACAUUUCCUAAUCAGUCACAUUUGUUGAGUAGGAUCUGAUGACCCUCCCUGAGCACUUGAGAUCACAACUGAUGGGGUUAGUUCUUCUUUUGUCGUGGUAAUGUCAGGUUGUCUUUUACUUAUGAGAUGCAUCUUUUGUCUCUCUUUUAAAUAUGAUUAGUAUUUCCAAGGGGC